rnacentral:rRNA from 1 species
CGCGUAGGCGGUUUGAUAAGUCGGAUGUGAAAGCCCCGGGCUCAACCUGGGAAUUGCAUUCGAUACUGUCUGACUCGAGUGUGGUAGAGGGAAGUGGAAUUUCCGGUGUAGCGGUGAAAUGCGUAGAUAUCGGAAAGAACACCAGUGGCGAAGGCGACUUCCUGGACCAACACUGACGCUGAGGUGCGAAAGCGUGGGGAGCAAACA